AAAAGUAUUGUAUGUUCUGAAAACUGAAAAUAUUUCCAUCUGGUUUAGGCUUAGGCUGAAUAUGGAGGAGCUGCAUAAAUGAAACUGGAAAGCCUAUGAUGUAAUGAGAGUGGUGUCUGCAGUCCACAAAUGGGUGAAGUUUUACCCAUAAAAUCAAGGCUCACCCACCCAAAGUCCAAAAUAGAAGUAUGAAAGGUAAAAGAGGAAUUAACUGUAAGAGAGGAUAUUAACAGUGCUGGCUUUGCAGGUCAGAUCCAUUUUGUGAUCCAACUUCUGGACCUGCAUC
rnacentral:lncRNA from 1 species